rnacentral:piRNA from 1 species
GAUGGCCUCCUCGAUGUGCCUGGUGG